ACGGUCCUAAGGUAGCGAAAUUCCUUGUCGGGUAAGUUCCGACCUGCACGAAUGGCGUAACGACUUGGGCGCUGUCUCAACAGGGGACUCGGCGAAAUUGUAGUAUGUGUGAAGAUGCACAUUACCCGCGACUGGACGGAAAGACCCCGUAGAGCUUUACUGUAGCCUGAUAUUGGAUUCUGGUAAUGGAUGUACAGGAUAGGUGGGAGGCUAGGAAGUCAGGGCGUCAGCCUUGGCGGAGCCGAUGUUGGGAUACCACUCUUUCAUUAUUGGAAUUCUAACCCGCGACCGUAGAGCCGGAGCGGAGACAGUGUCAGGUGGGCAGUUUGACUGGGGCGGUCGCCUCCGAAAGAGUAACGGAGGCGCCCAAAGGUUUCCUCAGAAUGGUUGGGAAUCAUUCAAAGAGUGCAAAGGCAGAAGGGAGCCUGACUGCGAGAGAGACAUUUCGAGCAGAUACGAAAGUAGGGCUUAGUGAUCCGGUGGUAGAGAGUGGAAUCGCCAUCGCUUAACGGAUAAAAGUUACCUCGGGGAUAACAGGCUGAUCUCCCCCAAGAGUUCACAUCGACGGGGAGGUUUGGCACCUCGAUGUCGGCUCGUCGCAUCCUGGGGCUGAAUUCGGUCCCAAGGGUUUGGCUGUUCGCCAAUUAAAGCGGCACGCGAGCUGGGUUCAGAACGUCGUGAGACAGUUCGGUCCCUAUCCAUCGUGGGCGCAGGAUAUAUGAGAGGAGCUGUUCCUAGUACGAGAGGACCGGGAUGGACGUACCUCUGGUGCAUCAGUUGUCAUGCCAAUGGCACAGCUGGGUAGCGAAGUACGGAUCGGAUAAACGCUGAAGGCAUCUAAGCGUGAAACCGACCUCAAGAAGAGAUAUCCCACUGCGUAAGCAGGUAAGCCCCCUUGCAGACUACAAGGUAGAUAGGUCGGAGGUGGAAGAGCGGUAACGCUUGGAGCUGACCGAUACUAAUAGGGCGAGGGCUUGAUCAA
rnacentral:rRNA from 1 species